rnacentral:lncRNA from 1 species
AAAAUUAAUAUUUGCAUCCGGUGUAACGAUUCGAUCCGCUAACAAUAAUAACUCGUUAGGUCCAAACCAUCGACCCAAAAUGCUUAAGUUCAGUUAUUAUGUCUAGCCUAAUCAAACUUAUAUACCUCCAGAUCUAGUUAUAACUAUUCGAUAUGGAAUUAUUAAUUAGGGUGUCACGCCCGGUAUAUGUAUACAUUUCAUAUGCAACAAUAAAUUCAUACGAUAGAAAUAUCAAAAAUAAUAUUUAAUUAAUUUAUUUUAUUUUAUAGUAUUCUAAAUGUCUGGAUAAUAAAAAAUUACAUAA